GUCUACGGCCAUGCCACCCUGAACACGCCCGAUCCCAUCUAAUCUCGGAGGCUAAGCAGGGUCAGAAUUGGUUGGUACGUGGAUGGGAGACCACCUAGGAAGACCAGGUGCUGUAGGCG
rnacentral:rRNA from 1 species